rnacentral:rRNA from 1 species
UACAGAGGUCUCAAGCGUUGUUCGGAUUCAUUGGGCGUAAAGGGUGUGUAGGUGGCGCGCUAAGUCGGGUGUGAAAUUUCGGAGCUUAACUCCGAAACCGCAUUCGAUACUGGCGUGCUUGAGGACUGGAGAGGAGACUGGAAUUCAUGGUGUAGCAGUGAAAUGCGUAGAGAUCAUGAGGAAGACCAGUGGCGAAGGCGGGUCUCUGGACAGUUCCUGACACUGAGACACGAAGGCCAGGGGAGCAAACGGG